UACAACCUGAGCUCAGUCGUGAUUACCCGCUGAACUUAAGCAUAUCACUUAGCGGAGGAAAAGAAACUAA
rnacentral:rRNA from 1 species